rfam:Papilio xuthus contig17288, whole genome shotgun sequence.
ACUGGGAGCGUGGCGUCUCCUGUAAUCCGGCUACUCGGAGGUCGGGCUUGGAGGAUGGUUUGAGGUCGGGAGUCCUGGUGCCGUGUGGCUCAUGUUGACUGGACGUCCACACUAAGCCCGGUAUUGAUAUGGAACAUCCGGAGGAGUCUGGAUGUUGCAGGUUAACUAAGGAGGGGCGAACCGGGCCAGGGGGGAAACCCAGCAGCCAAAAGUCCCCGUAUCGGGCAGUAGUGGGAUAGCGGCCGGGAGUGAGUGCACGGUAUCAGCCCGACCAAUACAAUCAGACCCAUUCCUUU